rnacentral:rRNA from 1 species
CAAAAACAUUGCUUUAUGAAUAAAUAUAUAAAGUAUCUCCUGCCCAGUGAUAUAUUCAACGGCCGCGGUAUCCUAACCGUGCGAAGGUAGCAUAAUCACUUGCCUAUUAAUUGUAGGCUAGAAUGAAUGGAUGAACGAAAGAUAAGCUGUCUCAGUUAGUAAUCUAAAAAUUAAUAUCUAAUUGAAGAAGAUUAGAUAAAAUCGAAGGACAAGAAGACCCUAUAGAGCUUUAAUUUUUAACUAUAAAGCUAUAGAAUAAAUAUUGGUUGGGGCGACCAAGGUAUAAAAAAAUCAUCCUUAACUAUCAACGAUAAAUCCAUCUUUAUAAAGACCCUUUUUUAAGAUCAUAAGUUUAGCUACCUUAGGGAUAACAGGCUAAUCCUAUUAAAGAGUCCUUAUCUAUAAUGGGGAUUGGCACCUCGAUGUUGGCUUAGGAUAUAAAUAUGGCGCAAAAGUCAAAUUAAU